rnacentral:rRNA from 1 species
GUGCCAGCCGCCGCGGUAAUACCGGCAGCCCGAGUGAUGGCCGCUGUUAUUGGGCCUAAGGCGUCCGUAGCUGGCCGCACAAGUCCGUCGGGAAAUCCGCCCGCUCAAAGGGCGGCCGUCCGUCGGAACCUGUGUGGCUUGGGACCGGGAGGCCUGAGGGGUACGAUCGGGGUAGGAGUGAAAUCCUGUAAUCCCGCUCGGACCGCCGAUGGGGAAACCACCUCAGGAGAACGGAUCCGACAGUGAGGGACGAAAGCCAGGGUCUCCAACCGGAUUAGAAACCCAUGUAGUCC